rnacentral:misc_RNA from 1 species
CAUCUUCUGUUAAACAUUAAAGGAGCCAACACUACCCAAAACCCCACCACAAAUCCAGGCACGAUGCUCACAUAGAAAUAGAACCAAACAAAUGAUUCUAACUCUUUGCCAUCUUCUCCUCUUUAUAUCCCAGUGGGAGGCGUCGCACCAUUAUCACUGCAUUUCUUGAUGAGUGGAAGACCACAAAGUUUGUUGCCCCUGAAAUUAGAUAGAUCAAAGCCUUGCAAUUAAGUGCCUAAAGGAAUCAUUCCCAAUAACUUGUUGUUGGACAAAUUCAAUGCACUCAAAAAUGUCAAGCUUGACAU